AUCUCCUUUCUACAAAGAAGGAAACCGAUGCUUAGAGAUAUGAACUCAUGUGCCCAACGUCAGAAAAAAACCUGGAUGAACUAAUGAACUAAUAUCCAAGAAGGGACAAGUCCUGAAUAAAAGGUUGGUCCAAAGAGGUUACUUCAAUGUUCUUGCUGAUGUCUAGUUACUCCAUGUCCCCCCUAAAUGCCUCUGUGUCACCAGUGGUAAAGAAGGAAUACAGUACACCUUGGGAAAAGGAUCCUGUCAUCUUUGUAAAUUAUGGAAAGUAGGAUGUUUCAGUUAUUGGAAUUGAAGAGUAGCAGAAUCUAUGGAAAGAGAAACAUCUUUGAUGACAACCAUAACUGUAUUCAAAUCAAGUCAAUACCUUACUAAAUGUGUCAACCUGGCUUCCUACAAAAUGAUGGAGCUUGUUGUCAAGAGGAGGAUCAUAGAAGAGGAUAUGGAAGUAAACAUGCAAACAAAUAGUUCUGCACUUUGUGCCGUGCCUGGUGACAGGAAGAAAUGAUGAGCAUUAAGAGUUUCUCCACUGUACGCAGUUUCCUCUGGGUGAUUCACAGCACCGUAAGCAAACUCACACCAGUCUUGAAGAAAUAUCUGAGAAUCUCCACUCAGGAAUACAGUCUUGCCGCCUUCUUGAUUUUGACCCUGUGAGACCUGGAGCUAAGAAAUAAAUCCAGCCCUGGACUUCUGACCUACAGAACUGUGAGAUGAUAAAUUUAUGCAGUGUGAAGCCCUAAAGCUUAUGUAGAAAAAUGUAAACUAUCCAUGCCAGUAUGCUUAAGGAAAGAGUAGAAUGCUAACACAUACUCCCUCUCUCUCUCCCCCCACAAAAAAACAAACAAAAAAAAGCAGUACACAGAGCUAUACACAGACGUUUCUGUAACUAGAUAAAAUGUAGAAAAACAAAUAUGAAAAGAAAAAAAUGUGUUAAGUUCUAGAAUCGGAGGUCUUUUAAAUGAUUAUUUGCAAUUAUUAGUUUAUUACUGUUGCACUGUGCCUUCAUUAUAUGUGUAAAUAGCAGUACAAUAUAGAUAUAAUAAAAAUAUUAAAAGAAAGGUUUUUCCUGAAGCAGUCCUUUUGAUGAGUGUUUGUCUUCCCAAGGUUAGACGCCCUCCUGUGGAGGAAUGUGAGGCUGCCUCACACAAGUCUGGGUAAACUUGUUUGUACCCCACCUCCUACAUUGUCCCACUGUCCACAGCUGCUAUCAUGUGAUUCCUGACACAGAUUUAAUCCCUGUUCCAAUUUUAUGACCACUUCUUCACUCUGUCCAUGAAACAGAUAAUUCAGAACUAGUGUGGCUUGAAGAAUAGUCAUUUUUAUGAUCUUGUGCCUCAACUUCAGUGAUUAGACUCAUGAUGUUUGUUCCUGGAAAAUUACUACCCUUCCAGAAGGCAGUUCAAAAAACAAGAACUGUAGAAACUGGAACAACAUAGUGGCUGAUAUGGAGCCCUUCUCUUGGGACAUAAUACUUAUAGGAUGGAAUAUUCCCCUGCAUGGCACACUGCACCCUAUAUAGCUGUGGAGCUAUGGAGUUUAAAUGGGUUUAGUGCUUUGAUUACAAGAGGGCCCUCAGAAAAGUGGUACCCGAGGAUGCCUAGCAACCGAACAAUAUACCUACCAUCUUAAAGAGGAGAUUGUUCAUGAACUAACGUGAGAAAUCCACUGAGAACUCCUAGGAAAGCUGGAAUUCUGAAGAAGCUGAGAUCCUUCAUGGGUAGGUGGAAAAGAACCAGUGGAAUGUGUUGUUGUUAAUAUUAUACUUUUGUUUCUUUUAUUUUGUUAUUUUAAGUAUUUUAACCAGAGUCCCUUUUCAUACAGCUAUAGCUGUUGAGCACAAAGAGAUGUAUAUGCACCUUUCUUAUUUGCCUUUAUUUAUCUUCCAGCCAGUGAUAGAAGAAAGGCCACUUAAAACUAAUAUCACAUCUCCAUUAAUGAAGGAAU